UGGGGAAUAUUGGACAAUGGGCGGAAGCCUGAUCCAGCAACGCCGCGUGAGGGAUGACGGCCUUCGGGUUGUAAACCUCUUUCAGCACAGACGAAGCGAGAGUGACGGUAUGUGCAGAAGAAGGACCGGCCAACUACGUGCCAGCAGCCGCGGUAAUACGUAGGGUCCGAGCGUUGUCCGGAAUUAUUGGGCGUAAAGGGCUCGUAGGCGGUUUGUCGCGUCGGGAGUGAAAACCUACAGCUUAACUGUGGGCUUGCUUCCGAUACGGGCAGACUUGAGGCAUGCAGGGGAGAACGGAAUUCCUGGUGUAGCGGUGAAAUGCGCAGAUAUCAGGAGGAACACCGGUGGCGAAGGCGGUUCUCUGGGCAUGUUCUGACGCUGAGGAGCGAAAGUGUGGGGAGCGAACA
rnacentral:rRNA from 1 species